GCCCGGGUGGCGGAAUUGGUAGACGCGUUGGUCUCAAAAACCAAUGAGAGUAAUCUCGUGCGGGUUCGAUUCCCGCCCCGGGUA
rnacentral:tRNA from 1 species